rnacentral:rRNA from 1 species
UGGGGAAUAUUGCACAAUGGGCGCAAGCCUGAUGCAGCCAUGCCGCGUGUAUGAAGAAGGCCUUCGGGUUGUAAAGUACUUUCAGUAGGGAGGAAGGUGUGAGGGUUAAUAGCGUUCACAAUUGACGUUACCUACAGAAGAAGCACCGGCUAACUCCGUGCCAGCAGCCGCGGUAAUACGGAGGGUGCAAGCGUUAAUCGGAAUUACUGGGCGUAAAGCGCACGCAGGCGGUUUGUUAAGUUGGAUGUGAAAUCCCCGGGCUUAACCUGGGAACUGCAUCCAAGACUGGCAAGCUAGAGUCUCGUAGAGGGAGGUAGAAUUCCAGGUGUAGCGGUGAAAUGCGUAGAGAUCUGGAGGAAUACCGGUGGCGAAGGCGGCCUCCUGGACGAAGACUGACGCUCAGGUGCGAAAGCGUGGGGAGCAAACA